GGUUCGACCAUGGCUCAGGAUUGAACGCUGGCGGGAUGCUUUACACAUGCAAGUCGAACGGCAGCACGGACUUCGGUCUGGUGGCGAGUGGCGAACGGGUGAGUAAUGUAUCGGAACGUGCCUAGUAGUGGGGGGAUAACUACGCGAAAGCGUAGCUAAUACUGCAUACGCCCUUCGGGAAAGCGGGGACCUUCGGGCCCCGCACUAUUAGAGCGGCUGAUAUCGGAUUAGCUAGUUGGUGGGGUAACGGCUCACUCAAGGCGACGAUCCGUAGCUGGUUUGAGAGGACGACCAGCCACACUGGGACUGAGACACGGCCCAGACUUACGGGAGGCAGCAGUGGGGAAUUUUGGACAAUGGGGUAAACCCCGAUCCAGCCAUCCCGCGUGUGCGAUGAAGUACUUGGGCUGUGGUGCUACCCUUUGGCAGGAAAGAAACGGCACGGGAUAAUACCCCGUGCAACUGACGGUACCUGCAGAAUAAGCAACUGGCUAACUACGUGCCAGCAGCCGCGGUAAUACGUAGGGUGCAAGCGUGACCGGAAUUACUGGGCGUAGCGUGCGCAGGCGGUUCGGAAAGAAAGAUGUGAAAUCCCAGAGCUUAACUUUGGAACUGCAUUUUUAACUACCGAGCUAGAGGCCAGAGGGAGGAAUUCCGCGUGUAGCAGUGAAAUGCGUAGAUAUGCGGAGGAACACUGAUGGCGAAGGCAGCCUCCUGGGAUAACACUGACGCUCAUGCACGAAAGCGUGGGGAGCAACAGGAUUAGAUACUCCUUGUGGAAUCCCAGCAAUACGUGUCCGAACGG
rnacentral:misc_RNA from 1 species